AGUGAACGCUGGCGGUAGGCCUAACACAUGCAAGUCGAACGGCAGCACAGGAGAGCUUGCUCUCUGGGUGGCGAGUGGCGGACGGGUGAGGAAUACAUCGGAAUCUACUCUGUCGUGGGGGAUAACGUAGGGAAACUUACGCUAAUACCGCAUUCGACCUACGGGUGAAAGCAGGGGACCUUCGGGCCUUGCGCGAUUGAAUGAGCCGAUGUCGGAUUAGCUAGUUGGCGGGGUAAAGGCCCACCAAGGCGACGAUCCGUAGCUGGUCUGAGACGAUGUUCAGCCACACUGGAACUGAGACACGGGCCAGACUCCUACGUGAGGCAGCAGUGGGGAAUAUUGGACAAUGGGCGCAAGCCUGAUCCAGCCAUACCGCGUGGGUGAAGAAGGCCUUCGGGUUGUAAAGCCCUUUUGUUGGGAAAGAAAUCCAGCUGGCUAAUACCCGGUUGGGAUGACGGUACCCAAAGAAUAAGCACCGGCUAACUUCGUGCCAGCCGCCGCGGUAA
rnacentral:rRNA from 1 species